AUUGAACGCUGGCGGCAUGCCUUACACAUGCAAGUCGAACGGUAACAGGUCUUCGGAUGCUGACGAGCGGCGAACGGGUGAGUAAUACAUCGGAACGUGCCUAGUAGUGGGGGAUAACUACUCGAAAGAGUGGCUAAUACCGCAUGAGAUCUACGGAUGAAAGAAGGGGAUCGCAAGACCUUGUGCUACUAGAGCGGCCGAUGGCAGAUUAGGUAGUUGGUGGGAUAAAAGCUUACCAAGCCGACGAUCUGUAGCGGGUCUGAGAGGACGAUCAGCCACACUGGGACUGAGACACGGCCCAGACUCCCACGGGAGGCAGCAGUGGGGAAUUUUGGACAAUGGGCGAAAGCCUGAUCCAGCAAUGCCGCGUGCAGGAUGAAGGCCUUCGGGUUGUAAACUGCUUUUGUACGGAACGAAAAGCCCCGGGUUAAUACCCUGGGGUCAUGACGGUACCGUAAGAAUAAGCACCGGCUAACUACGUGCCAGCCGCCGCCGUAA
rnacentral:rRNA from 1 species